GAAAUGCGAUAAGUAGUGUGAAUUGCAGAAUUCAGUGAAUCAUCGAAUCUUUGAACGCACAUUGCGCCCUUUGGUAUUCCUUAGGGCAUGCCUGUUCGAGCGUCAUCUAAACCUUCAAGCCCUGCUUGGUGUUGGGUGCCUGUCCCGCCUCCGCGCGCGGACUCACCACAAAUCCAUUGGCGGCCCCCGCGUCGGCCACGAGCGCAGCAGAAACGCGAACUCGUGAGCCCGUCCGGGCGGCUCCCAGAAGCUACACCCACCCAGUUUGACCUCGGAUCAGGUAGGGAUACCCGCUGAACUUAAGC
rnacentral:misc_RNA from 1 species